rnacentral:misc_RNA from 1 species
UCCCCAAGAAAGAUCGCAAGCGCCGAAAGGGCACGAACGUCGAUCCUACGAUGCAAGACCCAGUGCCGUCGUCGUCGCUACCGCCACCGCAGCCAACUCGCGCUUCUUCAAGUCGACGACGUCGAAGGGUAAAUAAGACUUUACCAAUCGUCCUAGACGUGAACAUCGUCAAUGCCAUGUUCAGGGCAAAGCGAGUUAUCACCAGAAGCGCUAAACAACCGACGAGUACGCUACCGAUUCACGAAGAAUUGCCGGAUGAUUGGGACAUGUUAACGUUCAAACUCGUGCUACCGGGGAGCGUCAUCAAGAAGCUGAUUCACUUGACGGUCUUCUACGCAGUACAUGCCACCGAAUCUGACGAGUUAAUCAAACCUUAUUUGCCAUACCUGGAAGUGAAGGCUGUGAAGGACAUUCAGGAGAAACCCGUUGCGCUAGAUUUAAUCACCCUGCUUAAGAAAACGAUCGACGAGCUAAAUACAAAAAUACUACAGCCACUAACUAGAGAGUCUGACAGGAGUAAAUUGUUCUACUAUCGUUCCGGAACAGACAUUGCCUCAAGAGCGCAUACGACCCUACAACCGAUCAUACUAACCACAUUUUCAUACGAGCCGACUUGGAGUAUGGGGUUCAACCUUUUUAACGGAUACACGACUCCGUUGUAUUAUCCCUAUCACUACACCGUUUCCAAGGGCCACGGCCAAACAAUCGGCCGCAGAGCCCUACUGGAAUACUUCCUCAUUCCGGCGCUUACUUCGUACGAAGUUCGUAGCAACAUUAGGGACGUACUCAUCAAAACACCAUCCGACCAACAAGACGCUAUCGUCGAGCGAGUAAUCAAAACGAUUAAAGCGCUUUGCACCUUACCCGUAUUCCAAUGUGAUGUAAACCUCUGGGAGAGUGUGGGUAAAUUUGUAGAAAAGCAAAAGGAUGAUUUGGAAGCGAUGAAAGAGCUGAUUAGCCGGCUCUGUGCUCACCCUAACAUCUGGGAGAACCCACAGGCGUACGCAACGGGAGUACAAACUGCAAAUUCUCGUGUGCCACGAGAGACGCUGAGAGAGUUUCUAACAAACAUUUUUUUUUCGCGUCAAAACACGGGUAACCAGCAUGACACUUCCCUGUUAGAAGCGUCGUUCUUUUUUUACGUUACUUAUAAAGUGAUUAAGUUCAAAAAACCCAUGGUCUGCACGUUCAUAAUCGAAUGUACGAAUGUGGACGUGCUCGCCGCGUUUUACAUGCGCAUGCGCGCUAUAUUGGACCCAUACAACAUGAAGUUGAACACCGCAGUUUCAUUGUUCAUGGUUAGACACAACAUCGAAAGUAUCACGGACGCAAACUUAGGCACAGUGAACGCUACUAUGAAACGCGCACAGGCUGGAAAGCGCACAGCCAUAGGGUUUUCCCACGUGAGUCGAUACACGCCCCCAAAUUCCAAAAUUACAAGCCGUGGGAAUAGGAAGAUCUACAUUUUCCAUCUCACACACUCCUGUGAAUCGAGUAAGGAGGAUGCGUUUGCAAAUCGAUUUCUGAAUCCACAAGCAUUUGCCGACAUGUUUAGCACGCUGCUAAGCAUAUACAGUGAAAAGAACAUGGACAUCACAAAUUCGACAAUACACGAGUGGUCUAAUCGAUACCUCAGUGAAGUCUUCGAUUCGGUCCACAUUUUCAACAAAAUAAUCCCAUCGAGUUCUAACUUUCCUGCCACUUCGAACCCCCGACGACGCCGACACUCUGAAAUGGACCAAGAAGAUGUCGGCGACAUGAUCGAAGCGAAAAUCCAACACAUGACUGAUUCGACGAAUCCAUGGGCCAACGGAGAAGAAGCGGUGGCGGCAGAAGAUGCGCAAUGGCUGAGUACUCUGGACAGCGCAGCAUCUCCGUCGCGUCAGUACUUCACCCAUACCACUACGGUUCCAUCAGAAUGCCCUGUCCCCAACGAGCGACAAGUCGUUGCCGAAGACAAAGGCGAAGGGGUGGAGAAAUCUGUUCACCUUCAAGAUGAACCAGCCUGGCGAACUCCCGUGACGCCAAAGGAUGUAUCCUAAUCCACCCCACGCGGGACACCCAAUCCAGUGAUCGUCAAAGAACCCCGGUCUAUUCAUACAUCAGCCGUGAAAAGGAGGAGCACACGUAAUAAUAUAUACAACAGCCCGCAGCAAUUCCGAGGGAAACGGACGACGAGAAACCACCUCCUUCCAAGAAAAGAAGAAGAAUUAUAAGCCCGGGGAUUCACGAAGAUGGUCAAGUUCCUGGACUUCAAGAACAAAAAUGUGUGUCAAAGAAAAAUUGCCUGAUGUUAUUGAACAAUAAAAAAAAAUUAAA